UAACUGCCCGAAAGGGUAGCUAAUACCUCAGUAAUGCAGCGGAUCGCAUGGAUAUGUUGUUAAAGGUUUACCGCCUUGGGAUAGGCUUGCGUCUGAUUAGGUUAGUUGGUGUGGUAACGGCACACCAAGGCUACGAUCAGUAACUGGUCUGAGAGGAUGAUCAGUCACACUGGAACUGAGACACGGUCCAGACUCCUACGGGAGGCAGCAGUGAGGAAUAUUGGGCAAUGCUCGAAAGAGUGACCCAGCAACGCCGCGUGGAGGAUGAAGGUAUUCUAUAUCGUAAACUCCUGUGAGAGCAGACGAAAGACAGAUUAUUAAUCUGGAUGACUGUAUGCUCAGAGGAAGCCCCGGCUAACUACGUG
rnacentral:rRNA from 1 species